ACAGGGUGACAGCCCCGUACACAAAAAUGCACAUACUGUGAGCUCGAUGAGUAGGGCGGGACACGUGGUAUCCUGUCUGAAUAUGGGGGGACCAUCCUCCAAGGCUAAAUACUCCUGACUGACCGAUAGUGAACCAGUACCGUGAGGGAAAGGCGAAAAGAACCCCGGCGAGGGGAGUGAAAAAGAACCUGAAACCGUGUACGUACAAGCAGUGGGAGCACGCUUAGGCGUGUGACUGCGUACCUUUUGUAUAAUGGGUCAGCGACUUAUAUUCUGUAGCAAGGUUAACCGAAUAGGGGAGCCGAAGGGAAACCGAGUCUUAACUGGGCGUUAAGUUGCAGGGUAUAGACCCGAAACCCGGUGAUCUAGCCAUGGGCAGGUUGAAGGUUGGGUAACACUAACUGGAGGACCGAACCGACUAAUGUUGAAAAAUUAGCGGAUGACUUGUGGCUGGGGGUGAAAGGCCAAUCAAACCGGGAGAUAGCUGGUUCUCCCCGAAAGCUAUUUAGGUAGCGCCUCGUGAAUUCAUCUCCGGGGGUAGAGCACUGUUUCGGCAAGGGGGUCAUCCCGACUUACCAACCCGAUGCAAACUGCGAAUACCGGAGAAUGUUAUCACGGGAGACACACGGCGGGUGCUAACGUCCGUCGUGAAGAGGGAAACAACCCAGACCGCCAGCUAAGGUCCCAAAGUCAUGGUUAAGUGGGAAACGAUGUGGGAAGGCCCAGACAGCCAGGAUGUUGGCUUAGAAGCAGCCAUCAUUUAAAGAAAGCGUAAUAGCUCACUGGUCGAGUCGGCCUGCGCGGAAGAUGUAACGGGGCUAAACCAUGCACCGAAGCUGCGGCAGCGACGCUGAUGCGUUGUUGGGUAGGGGAGCGUUCUGUAAGCCUGUGAAGGUGUGCUGUGAGGCAUGCUGGAGGUAUCAGAAGUGCGAAUGCUGACAUAAGUAACGAUAAAGCGGGUGAAAAGCCCGCUCGCCGGAAGACCAAGGGUUCCUGUCCAACGUUAAUCGGGGCAGGGUGAGUCGACCCCUAAGGCGAGGCCGAAAGGCGUAGUCGAUGGGAAACAGGUUAAUAUUCCUGUACUUGGUGUUACUGCGAAGGGGGGACGGAGAAGGCUAUGUUGGCCGGGCGACGGUUGUCCCGGUUUAAGCGUGUAGGCUGGUUUUCCAGGCAAAUCCGGAAAAUCAAGGCUGAGGCGUGAUGACGAGGCACUACGGUGCUGAAGCAACAAAUGCCCUGCUUCCAGGAAAAGCCUCUAAGCAUCAGGUAACAUCAAAUCGUACCCCAAACCGACACAGGUGGUCAGGUAGAGAAUACCAAGGCGCUUGAGAGAACUCGGGUGAAGGAACUAGGCAAAAUGGUGCCGUAACUUCGGGAGAAGGCACGCUGAUAUGUAGGUGAAGUCCCUCGCGGAUGGAGCUGAAAUCAGUCGAAGAUACCAGCUGGCUGCAACUGUUUAUUAAAAACACAGCACUGUGCAAACACGAAAGUGGACGUAUACGGUGUGACGCCUGCCCGGUGCCGGAAGGUUAAUUGAUGGGGUCAGCGCAAGCGAAGCUCUUGAUCGAAGCCCCGGUAAACGGCGGCCGUAACUAUAACGGUCCUAAGGUAGCGAAAUUCCUUGUCGGGUAAGUUCCGACCUGCACGAAUGGCGUAAUGAUGGCCAGGCUGUCUCCACCCGAGACUCAGUGAAAUUGAACUCGCUGUGAAGAUGCAGUGUACCCGCGGCAAGACGGAAAGACCCCGUGAACCUUUACUAUAGCUUGACACUGAACAUUGAGCCUUGAUGUGUAGGAUAGGUGGGAGGCUUUGAAGUGUGGACGCCAGUCUGCAUGGAGCCGGCCUUGAAAUACCACCCUUUAAUGUUUGAUGUUCUAACGUUGACCCGUUAUCCGGGUUGCGGACAGUGUCUGGUGGGUAGUUUGACUGGGGCGGUCUCCUCCUAAAGAGUAACGGAGGAGCACGAAGGUUGGCUAAUCCUGGUCGGACAUCAGGAGGUUAGUGCAAUGGCAUAAGCCAGCUUGACUGCGAGCGUGACGGCGCGAGCAGGUGCGAAAGCAGGUCAUAGUGAUCCGGUGGUUCUGAAUGGAAGGGCCAUCGCUCAACGGAUAAAAGGUACUCCGGGGAUAACAGGCUGAUACCGCCCAAGAGUUCAUAUCGACGGCGGUGUUUGGCACCUCGAUGUCGGCUCAUCACAUCCUGGGGCUGAAGUAGGUCCCAAGGGUAUGGCUGUUCGCCAUUUAAAGUGGUACGCGAGCUGGGUUUAGAACGUCGUGAGACAGUUCGGUCCCUAUCUGCCGUGGGCGCUGGAGAACUGAGGGGGGCUGCUCCUAGUACGAGAGGACCGGAGUGGACGCAUCACUGGUGUUCGGGUUGUCAUGCCAAUGGCACUGCCCGGUAGCUAAAUGCGGAAGAGAUAAGUGCUGAAAGCAUCUAAGCACGAAACUUGCCCCGAGAUGAGUUCUCCCUGACUCCUUGAGAGUCCUGAAGGAACGUUGAAGACGACGACGUUGAUAGGCCGGGUGUGUAAGCGCAGCGAUGCGUUGAGCUAACCGGUACUAAUGAACCGUGAG
rnacentral:rRNA from 1 species